GUGGUGACGCGGAGGGACAUUACCGAGUUUACAACUCCCAAACCCCUGUGAACAUACCUUAACGUUGCUUCGGCGGACAACCCUCGCCUUACCGCGAGGGCCCGCCAGAGGACCCAAACCCAACCUUUAUUUUUACCUUUACCUACAUCUCUGAGUGGAUUUUAUAAAUCAAAUCAAAACUUUCAACAACGGAUCUCUUGGCUCUGGCAUCGAUGAAGAACGCAGCGAAAUGCGAUAAGUAAUGUGAAUUGCAGAAUUCAGUGAAUCAUCGAAUCUUUGAACGCACAUUGCGCCCGCCAGUAUUCUGGCGGGCAUGCCUGUUCGAGCGUCAUUAACACCCCUCAAGCCCCCGGGCUUGGUGUUGGGGAUCGGGAACAGCGGAUCGGCCCCCCGGGGCCGCGAAGCCCCCGUCCCCCAAAUGCAUCGGCGGUCACGCCGCGGCCUCUUGCGCGCAGUAGCUAACACCUCGCGCCGGAGCCCGUCGUGGUCCACGCCGCUAAACCCCCGACUUUUUACAAGUUGACCUCGAAUCAGGUAGGACUACCCGCUGAACUUAAGAAAA
rnacentral:rRNA from 1 species